UACGUAGGGUGCAAGCGUUAAUCGGAAUUACUGGGCGUAAAGCGUGCGCAGGCGGUUAUGCAAGACAGAUGUGAAAUCCCCGGGCUUAACCUGGGAACCGCAUUUGUGACUGCAUAGCUGGAGUACGGCAGAGGGGGAUGGAAUUCCGCGUGUAGCAGUGAAAUGCGUAGAUAUGCGGAGGAACACCGAUGGCGAAGGCAGUCCCCUGGGCCUGUACUGACGCUGAGGAGCGAAAGCGUGGGGAGCGAACAGG
rnacentral:rRNA from 1 species